rnacentral:rRNA from 1 species
UAGAGUUUGAUCCUGGCUCAGGAUAAACGCUGGCGGCGUGCAUGAGACAUGCAAGUCGAACGAACGAGCUUGCUCGUUAGUGGCGGACGGCUGAGUAACGCGUAGGUGACCUGCCCCGAAGUGGGGGAUAACUGCCCGAAAGGGUGGCUAAUACCGCAUGUGGCGACGCUUUCAUUGGCGUCAUCAAAGCCGCGAGGCGCUUCGGGAGGGGCCUGCGUCCGAUUAGCUCGUUGGUGGGGUAAUGGCUCACCAAGGCGACGAUCGGUAGGUGGUCUGAGAGGACGAUCACCCAGACUGGGACUGAGACACGGCCCAGACUCCUACGGGAGGCAGCAGUCGGGAAUUUUGCUCAAUGGGCGCAAGCCUGAAGCAGCAACGCCGCGUGAGGGAUGAAGGCCUUCGGGUUGUAAACCUCUUUUUCCAGGGACGAUGAUGACGGUACCUGAAGAAUAAGUCACGGCUAACUACGUGCCAGCAGCCGCGGUAAUACA